rnacentral:tRNA from 1 species
AUUUAAAUAAUUUAAUUAAAAAUAUUGAUUUGUGGAAUCAAAAAUAUGAUAGAAAUCAUUUUAAAUU